UCAUUCAAAGAGUGCGUAAUAGCUCACUGGUCGAGUGAUCCUGCGCCGAAGAUUUCCGGGGCUAAAACUUACUACCGAAGCUACGGCAUCAGUAAUGAUGGGUAGGGGAGCUUCCCAUACGGGUUGAAGCAUGACCGUAAGGACAUGUGGACAGUAUGGGAGUGAGAAUGUUGGCAUGAGUAGCGAGAUGUGGGUGAGAAUCCCACAGGCCGUAAACCCAAGGUUUCCAGGGGAAGGUUCGUCCGCCCUGGGUUAGUCGGGACCUAAGCUGAGGCCGAAAGGCGUAGGUGAUGGACAACAGGUUGAUAUUCCUGUACUACCGAUAACCGUUUGAGAGAAGGGAUGACACAGUAGGAUAAGCUAAGCACACUGUUGGUUAUGUGUGCCCAAGCAUUGAGGCAGUCAAAGUAGGCAAAUCCGCUUUGAUAAUGCUGGGAUGUGAUGGGGAGCGAAAUUUAGUAGCGAAGUAGCUGAUUUCACACUGUCAAGAAAAGUCUCUAUCGAGGUUAAAGGUACCCGUACCGCAAACCGACACAGGUGGGUGAGGAGAGUAUCCUAAGGCCAGCGAGAGAACUGUUGUUAAGGAACUCGGCAAAAUGACCCCGUAACUUAGGGAUAAGGGGUGCCACCAUCAGGUGGCCGCAGAGAAUAGGCCCAAGCGACUGUUUACCAAAAACAUAGGUUUCUGCUAAGUCGCAAGACGAUGUAUAGGAGCUGACGCCUGCCCGGUGCUGGAAGGUUAAGGGGAUCUGUUAGAGCAAUCGAAGCAGUGAACUUAAGCCCCAGUAAACGGCGGCCGUAACUAUAACGGUCCUAAGGUAGCGAAAUUCCUUGUCGGGUAAGUUCCGACCCGCACGAAAGGCGUAACGAUUUGGGCACUGUCUCAACAACAGACUCGGUGAAAUUGUAAUUCCGGUGAAGAUGCCGGAUACCUGCGACAGGACGGAAAGACCCCAUGGAGCUUUACUGUAGCUUGACAUUGGGUCUUGGUACUACAUGUACAGGAUAGGUGGGAGGCUUUGAAACCAGGACGCCAGUUUUGGCGGAGCCAUCCUUGGGAUACCACCCUUGUAGUACUGGGACUCUAACCAUAG
rnacentral:rRNA from 1 species